UACGUAGGUGGCGCGCGUUGUCCGGCUUUACUGGGCGUACAGAGCGCGCAGGCGGUCGUGCAAGUCGCGUGUGAAAGCCCCCGGCUCAACUGGGGAGGGUCACGCGAUACUGCUCGACUCGAAGGCAGGAGAGGGAAGUGGAAUUCCCGGUGUAGUGGUGAAAUGCGUAGAUAUCGGGAGGAACACCAGUGGCGAAGGCGACUUCCUGGCCUGUUCUUGACGCUGAGGCGCGAAAGCUAGGGGAGCAAACGGG
rnacentral:rRNA from 1 species